UACGUAGGGUGCGAGCGUUAAUCGGAAUUACUGGGCGUAAAGCGUGCGUAGACGGCUAUCUAAGUCGGGUGUGAAAGCCCCGGGCUCAACCUGGGAAUUGCAUUCGAGACUGAAUAGCUAGAGUUCGGCAGAGGGAAGCGGAAUUUCCGGUGUAGCGGUGAAAUGCGUAGAUAUCGGAAGGAACAUCAGUGGCGAAAGCGGCUUCCUGGACCAGAACUGACGAUCAGGCACGAAAGCGUGGGGAGCAAACAGG
rnacentral:rRNA from 1 species